AGGGUCCUAGAUUGACCGUGGUAACUCAACGUUUUGAGCCAACACAAGAACAUAGGGAGCUUUACUCGUUCUUGCGUGGAGUGCAGGCCUUGCAGUACAUAGAGGAAGCGUGAAGCGAAAGACAAAGCACCCACCUGCUAUUGCAGGUUCAAAACAAGAGUAGAAAAAACGGCUAUACCGGGAUCCUU
rnacentral:other from 1 species